rnacentral:rRNA from 1 species
UACGUAGGGUGCAAGCGUUGUCCGGAAUUAUUGGGCGUAAAGAGCUCGUAGGCGGUCUGUCGCGUCUGGUGUGAAAAUCCAGGGCUUAACCCUGGACCUGCAUCGGGUACGGGCAGACUAGAGUGCGGUAGGGGAGAUCGGAAUUCCUGGUGUAGCGGUGAAAUGCGCAGAUAUCAGGAGGAACACCGGUGGCGAAGGCGGAUCCCUGGGCCGUAACUGACGCUGAGGAGCGAAAGCAUGGGGAGCGAACAGG